GCGGACGCGUAUGCCUGUUGAGAAUAGUUUGUCCGGGUCAGCCCUCAGUAUAUAAGACAACACUGUCCGCCGAGAAGGCUUUCUCGAGAGCAGAAGACAAGACAAAGACUAUAAACUAGAAAGCAAAGCAGUAAAAAACUCUCCAAAACAAAAAACAAAGUCCGUAAAACUGGAUUCCAAAAACUGGACAGCAAAAAACAAAGCGAAAAAAGAAAACAAAGAAAUGGAGGAAGAUCACAGUAAUGGUGGAAAUAGCAGCAGCAAUGGUAAUUUAGAAACAUCGAAGGCUGAUAAAGCUGUUUGGCUAAUGAAGUGUCCAGUAGUGGUUGCAAAGUCAUGGAAAAGUCAUCAUACCUCUUCUUCAGAUUCCGCUCCGCUCGCUAAAGUCGUUCUCUCCCUCGAUCCUCUCCAAUCUGACGAUCCCUCUGCUCUUCAGUUCACUAUGGAGAUGGCUCGCACUGAGACCGGGAAUGUGCCGAAGAGUUAUUCUUUGAAUAUGUUUAAGGACUUUGUUCCGAUGGGUGUCUUUUCGGAGACACCUCAAGGGAGGGUUUCCAUGGAAGGAAAAGUGGAACAUAAAUUUGACAUGAAGCCUCACGAGGAAAACAUUGAGGAAUAUAGUAAAUUAUGCCGUGACAGGACGAAAAAGUCUAUGAUCAAGAAUAGGCAGAUACGGGUGAUUGAUAAUGACCGUGGGGUGCACAUGAGGCCCAUGCCUGGAAUGGUCGGCUUGAUUUCAUCUACCUCCAAGGAUAAGAAGAGAACACAACCAGUUAAACAAUCAGAUGUGAAGAGAACCAGGAGGGAUCGUGGUGAAUUGGAGGAUAUCAUGUUCAAGUUAUUUGAAAGGCAACCAAAUUGGGCCUUAAAGCAGCUUGUUCAAGAAACAGAUCAACCUGCGCAAUUCUUGAAAGAGAUACUGAAUGAACUUUGCAUGUACAAUAAGCGGGGAACAAACCAAGGAACUUAUGAGCUAAAACCAGAAUAUAAGAAAACUGCUGAGGAUACAGUUUAUAAAUGGAGGCCACAAGUUUGGAGCUGGGGGCCCAUUUCGGAAUUGGGAGUUUCCUAGUCAACCCAGGGAGGCGAGAACAUUGUUUGUAAAAUUCUAGAAAAUAAAAGAUUCAACACAGGGUGCUUGCUAGCUGCAAACAAGGGCUUGUGCCUAUAGUCUGUAAGUGGACGUCUUCUGUGCUGUGGGACUCCCAGUAAGUGCCCUUACUGUUGCAUUUAGGCUUGGCUCGAAAUUUCUCUUAGCAAAGGGAAUCGUUUCCUAUAUAUCUAGGCAUUACAAUACUAAUUCAGAAUCAUGUCUUGAUUUGUAAUAGUAUUGGUCCCAUUUGGUGAUUAUUGCUUUUCCUUUUUUACUGAUCUAAACGUGCCUAAGAAAUGAGAAACCAAAUGGAACCAGGCUAUUGAAUUUAGGGGAAAACGUAUUAGCAAUGGAAACAUAUACUAGAAGGACCCUUUUAAGAGUAUUAAUUCUAAUCUCCUAAUAUGAUCAUAUAAAUGCUUGGUCAUGGCAUUUAGGGGAAGAAAAAAAAUUGAAAAUCAAGACCCUAAAUUCCUUAAUUAACCAUGUAUGAAACAAUAAAAUACACUAGCUGCUUGAAUGAAUCUCUAGACUGAUCUGGUGUUAAGUUGAUAAUUUUUUAGAACUUGAGAUUUACCUUGCUAAGUUCGAUAUUUUUAUCAUAAAAAGAAGGAUUGAGCAUCUCUUUGUUUCGACUUCUUUUUAGUGUAAAAAUAUGAUGUGUCAACAUGAUAUGAAAUGAACCUAAAUAAUUAGGGUUUUAUAAUCCAUGAUUGUCAUCCACUAGAUGAAAAUGCACAUUGAUAGUUUGAAAAGGUCAGGUGCUGUUGUCUUAAUUUUCUUGAAUAUCAUCAUUGCGCGCAUUUCUACGAUAAUGCGGUGUUAACAUCAACUUAAUCAGGUCAUCCAUCAAACUUUCUAUUAUUCUAACCCCUGAUCCAUCAAUAUCUCCAAAUAUUGAUCUCCAUACAAUGCUUUCAAUGAAUGGAACCAGAUUGUCUUGGGAAAUCUCAUUGCCAUAAAUUUAAUUAGGUGAAGAAAAUAUUGGAUUAUGUAUAUUAAUGGAGUUUGAGUUGUGUCUUUGGUAGCAAAUGGUGAGAGACUGGCUUUUUAUUGAUGCAGUAGAACAUGUACUCCUUUUCGGUAAUCUGGUAAGAAAGUAUGAGGAAGGCUUGUAAAAUUCGUGAACUACAUGUGCUCUAAAACGAUCAUCUGUAACCUACUUGUAAGCUGAUGCUUCCUUUAAUUGUAUAUCAUAGAAAAAACAGAGAAGUUCAAGCAAAUUUGAAUGUCAGUCGGUCAUGGAUUUUUCUUUCAAAAGGAUUAAAAUAAUCAAUGAAUUUAUCUAAGAGCCACAUUUCUUAUUCUUGAUGCUGCUAUUAGGGUAGGCCUUGUAUAAAUCAUUUUUAUUUUAAAGUAAAACCCUAAAUAAGUUUUUCAGGUGAUUAUGUAGAGGUCAUUGCGUCUCUAAUUGCUCAUUAGUUGCAUGGAUUUGCUGUGAUAUGACUCCUCAUGUGCACCAACUUGUAAUUCUUAUUGACAUUGAAAUUGUUUCAUGAACACAUAGAAGUGCCUUAUUGAGUGGAUGUUGAACGCAAUAUCAUGCCUUCAAUGAGCUCGUCUAGUGUGAAUAGCCACUGUUGUGUUGCCUACUGAUUCUGCCUCUUAGACCCACGCGAUGGGUGAUGAGGAUCUUGAAAAUGACCAACUAGGAAUCUUCUUUGUCACCCAUGGAAGAUUUUCACAGCAUCUUUUGCUCAAAUAUUCCAAUACCAUCUUCUCAAAAUGAAUGAGCAUGCAAUUGAAUGCUUUCAUCAACUUGGACUCUUAUAGUAUAGUGGGCUUGGGGUACCCCAGUAAAGGGACCAUUUUCACAAUGGUGCAGUUUAAAUGGAAUGGUAACGGAGACUUGUGACUCCCAUGAACGUGGAUUCAAAAGUGGAAAAGCAAUAAAUGAAGAGAGAGAGAAAGAGUCAAAGAAGGUUUUGAUUGAGGAUAGUAUCGAAGUUUCAAGCCACAAUAUAUCUUAGAUGCUAAAACGUUUUCCCUACAAGGUAAGCAUGACACUUUUUUUCUGAAUUGUCAUUCCUGUGUUUUUGUUUUGCUAGAAGACCGAGUCAAAUUGCACCAGGCUUGUGUACGCGUAGUUAUUAUUGGAUAUAACAAUAUGAAGAUUUUGAUAUUUUGUUUCGCCCUGGGAUUUGCUUGUUCCCCACGCUCUUUGGCGUCUGGCAACUAUUGGAAUUGGCUGAUGUAGCAAAUACACAAGCUAUGAAUUUGUAUUUGUGCUUGUUCAUGUGUAUAUGUGUGAACUGUGAAAAUUGUCUCCAUGGCUUUUGAUAUUUUGUUUAGCCCAGGGAUUUACUUGUUCCAUAAUGUUAUCUUAUGUCCGGCAACUAUUGGAAUUGGAUGCUCCACCAACUCCACUAUUUGAUGUCCGGCAACUGUUGGAGUUGUGGGCUAAGAUUGAUCUUGAUGAACAGAUAAGGUUGCAUAAUAUUGACGGCUUUGAAAGGAAAAAGAUUGCAUAUUGGGUGGUGGGUUUUCCUUUCCCAAGCUGUUGUUUGCCUUUCCUUCCAUAACUCUCCCCUCCAAGCACCUUGUAAUCUCAGAACUGGCUUUCAAGCCCCACAUCAGAUCAUCACUCGUGCACAUAAUUCCUAGCAGGAAUAAAAUUAUGGAGAGCAUCUUCUCUUCCCUUUUGGCGCGUGCUGGUGUAACACCAUUGGUUUAAAUAUACGGCAUAGAUACAGAUUCAUAUAA